rnacentral:lncRNA from 1 species
UCGACGAGACCGGGAAAAUUUCGUCUUUCUUAGUCUUUGCUCUGUUCUCGUUACACGACAACGAGCAAAGAGGGGCAGCUGUACAGCCCAAAUUUACCCGGGCCUCACCAAAUAACAAGCCCAAAAAUUUAAAACAAAACCCAACUAGCCUAACCCACCAACCCGAGCCCAAUUACAAUGCAAAACCCAAUACAACCCAAG